AGAGCAACUUCCUGUUUCACCAGAUGGAAACAAGAUGGAGGCGUCAGAUUUUAGUGUUGGAGGAUUUCUCUUUAGUCUUUGGCUGAAGACCAGGAGCCAUUUCUGAUGCUAACGCUAGGCUAGCAGGUUAGCUUUGGUUGUAUUUAUCCUCUUGGUGUCCAUAUUCAUCAAACCGCUCCAGAGUUUGGUGGAUGAAAAGCAGCUUCCUGUUUCCAGUUCGUCUCCCCAAGACUGUCAUCCGAACGGAAAAAAUCAAGAAGGAGAAAAGAGGAAAUCCUACCAGCUCACCAAAACCCGACUGAGUCCGAGGUUCGGUCCGAGAACUUCACAUCAGAACACCGAGCGGUUCGUCAUGUUCAAGUUCUAAACAGUGAUUCUCACCUGGUGCUCCGACUUCCUCUCUCAAUCUGAAAGUCGUUGCUGCUUCCAGACAAAAUGCCGAACCUCAGCAUGGAUCCGACCGA